UUUGCAGAUAAGGAAAUGCCCUUCACACAUACUCAGGAGCUUCUUUUGAGGGCAUCUGUAUGAAAGAGUGUACAUAUGUGCAUUAGGCGUGCCUAUGCACCAUUCGUUACAUAUCUGAAAAAGAAAUCGCUUUAUAACUCUUCCAAUAUGCAUAGACAAUCAGAUCUUGCAAAAUUUUUUGUGAAUUACAGGGUACAAUAGGAGAUGGCACAUAUUUCACACACAUAAAAAUUGUUUUAAGGAGAAUUCAUUUUGCAGAAAAGAUUCUAUAUAGUAUUCACUGACAGGUAGAUAACCAGAUGACUAAUGGUGUUUUUUUUUCUUUGAUCAACUCAAUUUUGUUAAUUUCAUUUGAACUGAGAAAUGCACAUGUAAUUCAACAAAGUCAUUAAUUCAAAAUCCUUCUGUCAAAUUCAAGAAUAUAUUACAUGAUUUGGCAAGCAACAAACUCUUUCUCCAGCUAUGAUUGGAUUAAACCAACAACAAACUUAUGAAUACGUUUCAGCUGUAUUGGGAAGUGAGGCAGUUUAGAAACCUGAGGAAGCGAAAUCAGGGUGGUGGGAUAGAGUGAACUGUCUAAAUUUGUUGUAAAGAAAGGAAAUAGGUACUUCAAAGCAGUGGCUUAUCCAAAGGCAAUGUUGCAUGUUGCAACCUGGAAUGCAAUAUUUGUGGCUUUUUUUCUCCCCUGCAAGAUAUACAUACGUAUGUAUUUAUUUAUUUUAUGCUGUCCUCUGGAAGACAAGAAGAGGAACAGUUCCUGACUCCUAGGAACAGGACACUAACUCCCAGACUCAUGUGAAACGAUACUAACUACACAAGAAAUGACAAGUUUUAAAAGUGUGUGUGAAUAUAAUUGGUGCCAUAGGAGUUCAGUAAUAAAUCAGGAGCUGGACAGGUGGUCACCCACUGCAUUAGAAGGCUAUUAUGGAUGAAGACACCUCAUUCUUAUCUUUUUGGUUCAAAAGCCUCAAUCCAUGUAUCAGGCUGUUGAGCCCUGUUGAAGAAAAGCACACUGAACAAAGGAGGCUGGAGCUCUGGGAGGCGGGAGAGGUGGGCUUUAAGGUCUACCUUCAUUUGAUGGACAGGUUUAGAGAGUGAAUGAAGGAGGAGCAACAAAGAACUAAUAGCUGCACAGAAGGUUCCAGUUUGUGAACAAGGUAUUAUCUAUGCAUUAUCCUACUCAAUGCUCACAAUAAUCUAGGAGGGAGCUAGAUAGCCCUUUGUGCUAUUGAUUAAGGACACGCAGCUAUCACCAGCAGAGCCUGGGCUGGAUGCAACUUUUCUGACUCUAACUCUCUCAUUCUUUCUGCUGUCCCUUGCACUGGGUCCUUCUUUGGUGUCCAGAAGUUACCUAUGGUUCACGCAAGGUUCCUUUAGCUUAUUUGGUGAUAGGUUAGCUUCCACCUUCAGAAUCCCACCUGGUCUUAUUACUAUUACUCCCAUUUUACAAAUGAGCAAACUGAGGCUCCCUCACUUGUUCAAGGUCACAGGAUUGUUAUCACAUUAAGCCUGAACUGAAAGCAGUUUUUCUGCUUCAUGAUUCAAUGACCUAUCCAUUAUAUCUGGCUAAUAUUAAGCUGCAAUAGUACACUAUUAAUGUUAUAUUUUUAGAGAAGCAAAAUAUUGCUUUAUUCAUGGAGAAAAGUGGAUGACUGCUGGAACUCUUUCUCUGGAUUCUUACGAAUGUCACAUAUAUAUCACAAGACGAAAGAGAGUCAUAUUUGAUUAGAUUUCCAUUUCCUUUCAAUGAG
rnacentral:lncRNA from 1 species